rnacentral:rRNA from 1 species
AGCGAACGUUAGCGGCGCGCCUAACACAUGCAAGUCGCACGAGAGGGGCAACCCUGGAAAGUGGCCGACACGGGGUGCGUAACACGUAGAUAAUCUGCCCUUCGGCGGGGGAUAACGUUCCGAAAGGAGCGCUAAUACCGCAUACAGCGUUUGGUGGUUCGCCACUGGAUGGCAAAGGUUGGGACCCGCAAGGGCCAAUCACCGAAGGAGGAGUCUGCGGCCCAUCAGCUAGUUGGUAAGGUAACGGCUUACCAAGGCAAAGACGGGUAGCUGGUCUGAGAGGAUGAUCAGCCACACUGGUACUGGAACACGGACCAGACUCCUACGGGAGGCAGCAGUGGGGAAUCUUGGUCAAUGGGCGAAAGCCUGAACCAGCGACGCCGCGUGAGUGAUGAAGGCCUUCGGGUUGUAAAGCUCUGUGGGGAGAGACGAAAGAAUCGGUUCUAACAGGACCGAAGUUGACGGUAUCUCCUUAGCAAGCACCGGCUAACUCUGUGCCAGCAGCCGCGGUAA